rnacentral:rRNA from 1 species
AGAGUUUGAUCAUGGCUCAGGACGAACGCUGGCGGCGCGCCUAACACAUGCAAGUCGAACGAGAAUCAGCUGAUGAAGUUUUCGAAUGGAUUCGGUUGAGGAAAGUGGCGAGCGGGCGAGUAACGCGUGAGCAACCUACCUUGUACUGGGGGAUAACGUCGGGAAACCGGCGCUAAUACCGCAUAACAUUACGAUAGCGCAUGUUAUUGUAAUCAAAGCUUUAGUGGUACGAGACGGGCUCGCGUCCAAUUAGCUAGUUGGUGAGGUAAAGGCUCACCAAGGCGACGAUUGGUAGCCGAACUGAGAGGUUGAUCGGCCGCAUUGGGACUGAGACACGGCCCAGACUCCUACGGGAGGCAGCAGUGGGGAAUAUUGCGCAAUGGGGGAAACCCUGACGCAGCGACGCCGCGUGAAGGAAGAAGGCCUUCGGGUUGUAAACUUCUUUGAUCGGGGACGAAGAUGACGGUACCCGAGGAACAAGCCACGGCUAACUACGUGCCAGCAGCCGCGGUAAUACGUAGGUGGCAAGCGUUGUCCGGAAUUACUGGGCGUAAAGGGCGUGUAGGCGGGGGGACAAGUCAGAUGUGAAAUACCGCGGCUUAACUGCGGGGGUGCAUCUGAAACUGUUCUUCUUGAGUGUCGGAGAGGAAAGUGGAAUUCCCAGUGUAGCGGUGAAAUGCGUAGAGAUUGGGAGGAACACCAGUGGCGAAGGCGGCUUUCUGGACGAUAACUGACGCUGAGGCGCGAAAGCGUGGGGAGCAAACAGGAUUAGAUACCCUGGUAGUCCACGCUGUAAACGAUGGAUACUAGGUGUAGGAGGUAUCGACCCCUUCUGCGCCGGAGUUAACACAAUAAGUAUCCCGCCUGGGGAGUACGGCCGCAAGGCUAAAACUCAAAUGAAUUGACGG